AGGGUUCGAUUCUGGCUCAGGAUGAACGCUGGCGGCGUGCUUAACACAUGCAAGUCGAACGAAGCGGUUUUGCGGAAGUCUUCGGAUGAAAGCGGAAUUGACUGAGUGGCGGACGGGUGAGUAACGCGUGGGUAACCUGCCCCAUACAGGGGGAUAACAGUUAGAAAUGACUGCUAAUACCGCAUAAGCGCACGGGAUCGCAUGAUUUUGUGUGAAAAGCCGAGACGGUAUGGGAUGGGCCCGCGUCUGAUUAGGCAGUUGGUGGGGUAACGGCCUACCAAACCGACGAUCAGUAGCCGACCUGAGAGGGUGACCGACCACAUUGGGACUGAGACACGGCCCAA
rnacentral:rRNA from 1 species